ACCUGUAAGUCAACAAUUUUCCCUGUGGGUGCCGAGAGAAGGAGCUGGGAAUUUUCCCUCUGCACGCCAUCCUUCCCACUCCAAACCCGCGCAGGAUGUACAGGAUUUCAGCCUUUCCACGUGUGAUGUGGUGAUGGGAUAACGCGGCUCCUUGGACCACUUGGAGUUUCAAUGUGAAGAUGUCUGACUGCUACAAACUCCAUAGUUCUGAGUGAUGGACGAUGGAGAAUAGAAGUUGAUUUAGAAUAGCUGAGUUAGAAGGGACCUACAAGGAUCAUCUUGGUUGGACCACACAGUUGGACCAUACAAGGUCCUCUUCUCUCCCUCACGAAGGACUA
rnacentral:lncRNA from 1 species